AUUGAACGCUGGCGGCAUGCCUUACACAUGCAAGUCGAACGGUAACAGGUCUUCGGAUGCUGACGAGUGGCGAACGGGUGAGUAAUACAUCGGAACGUGCCCGAGAGUGGGGGAUAACGAAGCGAAAGCUUUGCUAAUACCGCAUACGAUCUCAGGAUGAAAGCAGGGGACCGCAAGGCCUUGCGCUCACGGAGCGGCCGAUGGCAGAUUAGGUAGUUGGUGGGAUAAAAGCUUACCAAGCCGACGAUCUGUAGCUAGUCUGAGAGGACGACCAGCCACACUGGGACUGAGACACGGCCCAGACUCCUACGGGAGGCAGCAGUGGGGAAUUUUGGACAAUGGGCGCAAGCCUGAUCCAGCCAUGCCGCGUGCAGGAUGAAGGCCUUCGGGUUGUAAACUGCUUUUGUACGGAACGAAAAGACUCUGGUUAAUACCUGGGGUCCAUGACGGUACCGUAAGAAUAAGCACCGGCUAACUACGUGCCAGCCGCCACCGUAACAC
rnacentral:rRNA from 1 species